GUGAAUCAUCAAAUCUUUGAACGCAUAUUGCACUCUCUGGUAUGCCGAAGAGUAUGCCUGUUUGAGGGUAAUUAAAAAGAAUCGUUAACCAAUUUCUUUUGGUCAAAGGAAAUGAGCUCUCCGCGUUUAUAGCGGUAGCUUGAAAUAAAUGGUCAUGUCUCAUUUUAGUCGAGUCGCUGAAUAAUUUUAUUUCUCGAAAUCUUUAUUAUUUGACUAUCAAGUUUUGAUGCAUUCAAAUUUGGUUUUGAGGCUAUUAAUACAACUAUUUUGAACAUUACCUCAAAUCAGGU
rnacentral:misc_RNA from 1 species